GUUAAUGACCUUGUAUCAAUGGGGUCCACUGUUGUUGAUUUUUUUAAUUGAAUUCUCAUUCUAGGUUUAUGCACCGUGGAUUAAAGAGGCUUAUUUCAAAGGAGAUAAACACCUUGCAAAGCAGGAAAGAUACUGUUAUAUUCUUCCACAAGCAAAUGGUGAAGUUGUUCUCGGGGGAACUGGAUAUCACAAUAACUUCGACACAAAAGUUAGCGCUGAUGACACCAGACACAUCUUAGAGGUCACGUCAAAGCUCAUACCUAGUCUAAAACGAGCUCCAGUGUUAGAAGCAUGGGUAGGACUGCGACCUGGUCGACCCUGCACAAGAAUUGAAAAAGAGGUCAUGAAAUUUAAGGACAAACUUGGAAGAGAACGGAGUCUCAAAGUUGUUCAUAAUUAUGGGCACGGUGGUUCAGGUUUAACAGUUCACUGGGGCUGUGCAGCCGACACCGCUGAUUUGGUAUUUCAAUUUCUGGCGCAAGGGCAAAUGGCGAAACUAUAAACAAUCCGUUGAUGAUAGUGUGGGGAACGAUUAUUCGUUACAGUAAUCUAGGAUGACUGGUCGUUUUCUCUUUACGCCUUUUUUGCUGUUUUGUGAGAGUUAAGGCGUUUUAUCGAUGUUUAAGUUAAUUAGUCAAUAUUUUUUUUCACUGUUUUAGUACUAUCGUUUUUAAAUGAUAGUAUGAAAGUUCAAUUUACCCCAGGGCAUCCCUGAAAACCAUCUUGAUAAGAGAAACCUCCUUCGUAACUGAUCGUUGUUUCAUUAUAUCACUUAUGUACGGGUAUAUAUAACAGCUGUGCAAAACAGCAGUGGCCUCUUAAUUGAUUUCGUACGUAUUACAUCAGAAAAUAAUCAAGCAAUGAUAGUUGUAUAAUUAAAAGAGAAAUGACAAAAUCGUGUAUUUCGCUAGUAUAGGUAAAGUUACUAGUGUAUAUAAUAUUUGUAUUGCAAGUAACGUCAUUGCUGCGAUAAAAAAUCGUAUAACUAAUUUGUUAAGAAAAUACCGAAAAUAACAUACUAUUUGAAACAGGUCUGACCCGAGAGCAAUAAACCCUCAAUUACCCCAAUACCGUGAGGUUAUUGUUUUCUAGUUUCUUCUUUUGUGUGUGUUACUCAAAUUUCGAGAAGAUAAGGUAGGGCACUGGGUACUAGAAUGUCACAGUCGGUAAAACAAGCGCCAUGGUCAGUAAAAUCUUGGUUGGAGCAUGCGCAUCAUUUAGUUCCUGAAUCGAACCUUGUUCUCCAGUCAAAAGUAGCAUG